AUGGGGAUUAGAAAGAUGGGGAGUAGAGUGGCUAGCCACUCAGUUCAUCAAGAUGCACAAGUACAAAAUCAAAAUAAUCUCCUUCAAGCCCAACAGCUCCAGAGGCAUUUCACUCCUCAAAUGACUAUCCAUAACCAGAAUCUGACAGCACAGCAGCAGCACCAGCUGCUGCAGCAACAACAGUGGAUGAGGCGGAACCAAAUGAUGGGCCCCCGCGGCGCUCUUAUGAUGUUGGACAAAACCCAGACCCUGGUAAACGUGAAGCUCGAGAAUACCAUGGAUUCACAAAUCGAUAGCCCGUACGGAUCUCUCACCAGACAACAACAACAGAUGCAGCAGCAGCUACUGCAGCAGCAGCAACAGAAGCAGCUCCAGCAACAGCAGGUAUUGCAGCUUCAACACCACCACCAGCAACAGCUGCAGCAGCAGCCGCUCCAGCAGCAACAACAACUCCAGCAGCACCACCACCACCAACAGCAACAGCUCCAGCAGCACCACCACCACCAACAGCAACAGCUCCAGCAGCACCACCACCAGCAGCAACAGCAGCUUCAGCAGCAUCUGGGCAUGUCCGGAAACCAGAGCGCCGAAGCCCAGCUAGCGCAGCAGCAGCUGGGCAUGAUGGAAACCAGAGCGCACAAGCCCAUCUAG
rnacentral:rRNA from 1 species